rnacentral:ncRNA from 1 species
AAGCGGUUGACAAAACGCAAAGCGUUUUGAACGUUGGCUUUGCCAACGGCUCCGAAGGAGUGAGAAAUCUGUCACAACAGAUUUCGAAUAAAAAACCAUUAA